UACAGAGGUCUCAAGCGUUGUUCGGAUUCAUUGGGCGUAAAGGGUGCGCAGGCGGCGGGGCAAGUCGGACGUGAAAUCUCGGGGCUUAACCCGAACUGCGUUCGAUACUGCCCUGCCUUGAGGACUGGAGAGGAGACUGGAAUUCCUGGUGUAGCAGUGAAAUGCGUAGAUAUCAGGAGGAACACCGAUUGCGGAGGCAGCUCGCUGGAACGUUGACUGACGCUGAGACGCGAAAGCGUGGGAGC
rnacentral:rRNA from 1 species